GACGAACGCUGGCGGCGUGCUUAACACAUGCAAGUCGAACGAUGAAGCCGGAGCUUGCUCCGGUGGAUUAGUGGCGAACGGGUGAGUAACACGUGAGCAAUCUGCCCUUGACUCUGGGAUAACUGCGGGAAACUGUAGCUAAUACCGGAUACGACACCUUGGGGCAUCCCAGGGUGUGGAAAGAAUUUCGGUCAAGGAUGAGCUCGCGGCCUAUCAGCUAGUUGGUGAGGUAAUGGCUCACCAAGGCGACGACGGGUAGCCGGCCUGAGAGGGUGACCGGCCACACUGGAACUGAGACACGGUCCAGACUCCUACGGGAGGCAGCAGUGGGGAAUAUUGCACAAUGGGCGCAAGCCUGAUGCAGCAACGCCGCGUGAGGGAUGACGGCCUUCGGGUUGUAAACCUCUUUUAGUAGGGAAGAAGCGAAAGUGACGGUACCUGCGGAAAAAGCACCGGCUAACUACGUGCCAGCCGCCGCCGUAA
rnacentral:rRNA from 1 species